rnacentral:rRNA from 1 species
AUGGAGCACUACGAGAGGCUCGACAAGAUCGGCGAGGGCGCCUCGGGCGUCGUCUACAAGGCGCGGGACCGCCGCACCGGCGCCACCGUCGCCGUCAAGCGCCUCCGCGGCGCUGGCUUCGGCGACCACGACGGCAGCCGGCUCUCCGAGGACCUCCUGCGCGAGGCGGCGUGCCUCGAGGCCUGCCGCGGCCACCCGUCCGUCGUCGAGCUGCGGGCCGCGCACCGGGAUGGGGAGGCCGCGUUCCUGGUGAUGGAGUACGUCGGGCCGAGCGUGGCGCAGGUCAUGCGGGAGCGCGGCCGGCCCUUCCCCGAGGCCGACGCGCGCCGGCUCAUGCGGCAGCUCCUGGACGGCGCCAGGGCCAUGCACGACCUCGGGGUGCUGCACCGCGACCUCAAGCCGGACAACGUCCUCGUCGACGCCCACGGCGACCUCAAGAUCUGCGACUUCGGGAUGUCGCGCUUCGCAGCCGCGACGGCGCCGCCCUACACGUCGCCCGUGGUCACGCUGUGGUACCGCGCGCCGGAGCUCCUCCUUGGGUCGACGGAGUACGACGACCGGGUGGACACGUGGGCGCUCGGGUGCAUCAUGGCCGAGCUGCUCGCCGGCGCGCCGCUGCUGCCGGGGAGGUCGGAGAUGGACCAGCUGAACAGAGCGUUCGACACGGUCGGGACCGACGACAUGACGGACUGGCCCGGCUUCUGCCGGCUCCCGCGAGCCGGCUCGCCGCUCUGCCAGCGCAGCAGGCCGCCCAGCCGGCUCCGGGAGAUGUUCCCGUCCCUCUCCGCCGCGGGCUUGGACGUCCUCAGCGGGCUGCUGGCAUGCAGGCCGGACAGGAGGCUCACCGCCGCGGACGCGCUGCGGCGGCCCUGGUUCACGGACGCCGAGUCGGCGGACGUCGACCAGCCUCGCAGCGCAUGCGGCGGCCGCUUCACGGCGCGCGUCGGCGGCGUCGCUGACGCGAUCGUUGUAUAG